rnacentral:rRNA from 1 species
UCCUACGGGGGGCAGCAGUAGGGAAUUUUCGUCAAUGGGCGCAAGCCUGAACGAGCAAUGCCGCGUGAACGAGGAAGGUCUUCGGAUCGUAAAGUUCUGUUGAAGGGGAAAAAGAGCGGAGAGAGGAAAUGGUCUCCGAUUGAUAUUACCCUUCGAGGAAGUCACGGCUAACUACGUGCCAGCAGCCGCGGUAAUACGUAGGGGGCAAGCGUUAUCCGGAUUCACUGGGCGUAAAGGGAGCGCAGGCGGCAUGGCAAGUCUGAUGUGAAAACCCGGGGCCCAACCCCGGGAGUGCAUUGGAAACC